AGUAUGUGAAAUGAGUGAAUUGUAUCUCAAGGUCAUUCUAGUGCAAUUGAGAACAUUAGUGCAGACCUUGAGACUAGAUCUCCAAUCCCCACUGAGAGAGAGUUAAGGCAAUCAUACAAAGCCUCAAGUGGCAAAGGCUCAAGACCGAAUGCAUUCAAGGGGGAUGGCUAUGAAGUGACUUAUCCAAUUGACCUCCGAUUCAAGGCUCUAGGAUUGUAGUGGAAAGGUGCACCUUGCUUGACAACUAGACAACUUUAAGAGCAAAAAGAACAAAUGACUGCAAGCCUGCAACAAAUUUCUUAGUCUAGUGCAUAAAGACCGAGAUAGUGAAUAUAUUGUGUUUAAAACAAUUAUGAUUUCUUUGAAAGGGGUUAGUUCGUAUAUGAGCUUGCCGGUUCUUUUUGCGGUUGACUCUAGUUCUUUAAGAACUACAUGCUCGAGUUAAGUAUUUUUUGUUGGUUUGAAUAAGUGUAGAUAAGGACAUAUGAUAUUUUAUUUGUUAUAUUUUGGUAUAACUGAGCAUAUUUUGGCUCGUACUUUGGUAUACAAGGUCACUUGUAG
rnacentral:lncRNA from 1 species